CUCACCUGAUUGCUGUGGCCACACUUCUUCUUGCGGCAGUUUGUAGCCCUGGGAGGCAGAGUUGCAUAGCACCUGCAAGACAAAGGGACCAUCUUGUUGAUGUUGUGCUUGUAGGCGAGGACCCUGAGCGAGGGCUCGAUCCAGAUGUGGCCGCCGCGUAGGCGAAGCACCAGGUGAAGCGUGGACUCCUUCUGGAUGUUGUAGUCGGCCAGCGUGCGGCCAUCCUCCAGCUGCUUCCCGGCGAAGAUGAGGCGCUGCUGAGAGCAGGGUUACCUUCCUUGUCCUGGAUCUUGGCCUUGACGUUGGCGACGGCGUCGCUGUUCUCCACCUCGAGGGUGAUGGUCUUCCCCGUCAGCGUCUUCACGAAGAUCUGCAUC
rnacentral:sRNA from 1 species